CUCCCUGCUGGACAGCAGUGUCUCAGCCGGUACAACCAGAGACUAAAGCUGGACUGACAGCCAGUGAAGUAAAUCCACACCGGAAACAACAGGGAAUCACUCCAGAAUCACUGAGUCAACUCUGAGACAUGAAAUGUGGGAUCACAGUCUGCCAAGGCACUCUUUCAAUGUUGCUCACUGACACCAUGGGAAAUGUCAUUACAAGUUAAAGGGAAACAUCUAUCAACCAUCACAUUAGUAUCCUGAGUGUUGGCCAGCACACAUCCAUAUGGUAUAACCAUACCAAACUCCUGUGCUCCCUGUGGACU